UAGCGGCCCAAAGUGACGUCAUCCACGAACAUUCCAUAGUGACGUGUCAGAGUUGCCCUGGCAACCAUUGAUUGCUAUUGAGUAAACAGUAAAGCUCUCCCCGAAGCCAUUUUUGGGAUUUUAAAUUAAUAGGAAAGGCUCUUUGUAUUGUACGUUACACUUACAACGCAAACUUCAUGAACAGCCAGAUAUGCAGAAGAUGCUGGAAAACCAGAGAACGUGCAAGAGCUGGGGGAUUUUUCUAUAGAACAGAAGGCAGUUGAACUGCUCAGGACCAACGCAGGACUCAUGAACAACUUGGAUCAUCCAGGAAACGACACAAAGUAUUAAGAUCGAAGGUUUUAGCAACAGAACAGAAGACGGACAAAAGCGCGAAGAACGAAAUACAUUGAGGAGGAGAAGAUGAGGAUAGGAAACUGCCUGGUGUGUUCCUGGUCGUGUGGUGCAGAGGUUUGGGGUGGAUUUGAGGAUGGCGUGCUGGACUGGCUCUGCUGGGUGAAGUUCGUGGUCCACGAGGAGGAGAUGGACACAAAUUGGAGCUGAACCGCA